rnacentral:lncRNA from 1 species
AAGAAAACCACCUCAAUGCUGUCAACAGGUAGACUUAAACCUCAUCAGAGCCCUUCAACACGAGAACAGCCACAUGAGUGGGAGCUACUGUCAUACCUGAAAAAAUUCUUUGCUUUUCUUUACAGCAGUGUCAUAGUUCUGCUGAUGCUGCUAAAGCAAGGGAAGUUUUUGUCUUGGGAAGGAGAGAGAGCUGCCUAGAAGAAUUCACUGGACUGCCACCUGUAGGAAAAGCCCAACCAGCCAUCACUCAGUAACUUAAAAGGCUGCUGUCCUACCUUUGUGGAAAAGCUUGGGGGUGUGUGGACAGGUUGGCCAAGACAUCAUUCCUCCACAUGGAAAUGAUGGAGUGACAUGGAGUUCCAGAUUAAAUAUCAGAGCUUCUUUUAGACCAGGCCACUCUGCAACUUCAGGAGGCAGAGGCUAUGCAGAAAUCAUUGCUUAAGGAGUUCUUCACUUAUGGACCUGGAGCAGUCUCUGCCUUGGCUGUAUUAUCAAGAGACUGUGCUGUCCACCAGAUCUGGAGAAGAAGCUGGCCAGAAAGCUGUUCCCACCCAUGUUCGCUACACUUUUCAACAUGUUUCCUCACUGUUCAUUGUGAGCUGGUGCUGCUGCUGCUCACCCACUGAUCAACCAGGCAGGUAUGAAGGCCUCUGAGGGUUUGGGAAACAAGCCUUGGAUGGUCUGAAGGCUGGAAUGGAUGUGACUAGGGUUUUAACUUUUUUUUWAAAUCUCCUUUUGCUGUUAAAUUGGGUUGUCUGACUAUGCUCUUUUCUAUGGGAACAUUCAGAUUUCCAGGAAGAAAAGAUUGUCUGUAGCAUUGCAUCAUCCCUUCCUCCCCUUCAAAUAGCCUCUUUGGCUGAUGGUUGAAGUAGCCUGGACAGCUCUUCAUUUGCACCCUUGUCACACUGUCAUGCUAUGAAAGUUUGAUAGCAAUGACUGAG